GUCAAAUACUCUUGUUGAAUUGUUUUCUAGAUUCCUCUUCAAGAGUAUGCGCCUACACUGAGCACCAAAUCGUGCAUCUCAUCCGCAUCUCAUCUAUUUUCUGCGAAUCUGAUGAAUCUCAGGAGUAAUUUGGGCUUCGUCAGUUCGGAUUUCUAAGUUUCUAGCCUAUAACACAACAUUUCCCCACACCACAGAGACAAAGAGCUGCAGCUUUCUAUUCUGAUCAUGGGGGUGAGCAAACCAUCUACUCCUUCCCUGCACAAGAUUUUCCAUUGUCACAUACUCAACCAAGUCAAGGACAACACACAAUAUCAAGCCAAGCAUUGUAGGAUCUUGCAACAACUAGAAGAUUGGAAAACAGAUCUUGAGAGAAAUACCUUUUUUCUUGAGAAGAGUCAGCUAUGGUGAAGCAACAGAGAUAGAACACAAAGAUGAUGAUGGAGAAGAAUGAUUUUUUUUAAGUGUUUAAUUGUUGUUGUGUACAUUAAAUGUUAAAUGCUCUAUUUUUUUGAGAGCUCCAACGACUAGUUUUUAGAAGAAGAAAAAAAGCCAACUUAAAUGAGUUUCCCUUUAUUAAUAAAUUGUCUACAUGUAAAAGUAACCGUUUUUUUUUCAUUUUGUGGCUUUUAUUUUAGUUUUCCUUUAAUUUUAAUGCU